AGGUAAUAGCGGACAGAUUGGCAGGACCCCUGGGCUGCGUGGAAGAACAGACGCUUCAACUGCCCUAUUCGUGAGGACUUGGCAGCAAGAGGGUAGCGUGUGGAGAGGUUGUGGCUUGGCGGAACAGAAUGAUGAAGUAUAUUGUUUGAGAAAUGCGCAUAGGGUGGAGACGACGAGCAACGUGACGGUGGCGAGUAAUGGAAGAGGCAGUGAUCUUGAGUAGAGUCUGUUUAUGAUCACCUUAUAAUACCCCUCACUGUUGCCUAUGUGGUGCUUUGACUUUUACCCCUCCUGUACCUCAUGUUCCCCUUCACCCAUCUCCGUGUUUCUGGCCUUGGGAAAGAAGAAAGGUAAAGAGGAAGGCAGGAAGAAGUGGUGGUGGUUUCUGAUAAAACAAAGGAUCAAGAUAAGGAUGAUGGCAUGUGUGUUGACUAACUGGUGUCCAUGGAUGUUUGCCUUCAAUUUUAUAUUUUGUUUUAUCAUUGGAUACUUGUGCAUAGAUUUGUAAAGGGACCUAUGAGCUCAAUGUUGAAUAGCAUGUGAAAGGUAUUCCUUGAAUAUUUAUCAGUUAGGAGAUAGUGAUGAUUGUGGCAUUAUUACACGAGUGUACUGUCAGCAUCACAUUUUCAUUAUUGUAUUAGUUGAUUUGUAAUGUACAAGUGGGGAUUUUGUAAUGUAGUUUUGAUAAGUCUGAAACAGGAGAGUAAUAGAAGACAUUAAAUAAUAUACGCAAA